rnacentral:rRNA from 1 species
CCCUACGGGACGCAGCAGUAGGGAAUCUUCCACAAUGGACGAAAGUCUGAUGGAGCAACGCCGCGUGAGUGAAGAAGGGUUUCGGCUCGUAAAGCUCUGUUGGUAGUGAAGAAAGAUAGAGGUAGUAACUGGCCUUUAUUUGACGGUAAUUACUUAGAAAGUCACGGCUAACUACGUGUCAGCAGCCGCGGUAAUACGUAGGUGGCAAGCGUUGUCCGGAUUUAUUGGGCGUAAAGCGAGGUCAGGCGGGUCAAUAAAACUGAUGUGAAAACCCUUGGCUCAACCCGAGAAUU